GUGGUGCUGCAAUCUACUUGUCUCUUAUUUCUUUUGGAAUAAAAAAAAGCAUUGAAGUUCUUCGGAAAA
rnacentral:tRNA from 1 species